rnacentral:lncRNA from 1 species
CAACACUCAGAAUGAGAGAUCAAAUGCGAGGGUAGGGAGCCGCGAGGACAACAAUCUAUCUGCUUUUGGUGCUUCUGGUCCAUCCUCUGCUGCUUCUAGAAUGAGGGGGAACCAAGAAGAGCCAAGGAGAAUGCCUGUGCAAUAUACGCCUUCAUCGUAUCAGGUUCAAGCUACUUCGCCACAACAAAUGACCUAUCCGAGGAUGGGUGGUGGUACACACGACAUGAUGCAGAACCUGCCUAGGAUUGCAACUGGAGAGGUACAUUCGAGUUUCCAAUCUCCUCACGGUUUGACAUCGCCUCCUAUGUAUACAUCAACAGCUGCAUAUAUGACAUCUCUGAGCCCGUUUUACAAUCAUAACUUUCAGUCCUCGGGUAUGUACCUCCCUCAGUAUGGUUAUAGCGGUUACCCUCCUGCCUCUGGUGUUGUCCCUCAGUAUAUGAGUGGAUACCCAUCUCAUGAAGCCACUGUUCCUAUGCCAUAUGAUAUCUCAUCGCCUUCUUCGGGCUACAACAACUCCUUCUCUCGUGAAUCCUUUUCACCUACUGCACAGAACACUCCUCUUCAAUCUGUUUGGUGAGAUUGGGCACCAACUUGAUCACCUCAUCAGCCUCUUCCACACGCUUACGCAGGCGUUCGAUCUCCUCCUGGACGCCUAUUACCCAAGGCUGACGAUAAUGAAAUCCAUCAGCCUUGGGGACAACAAAAAAAAACAUCAGACAACAUAAAAAAAAAAUUCUAUACUAAUAUAUGCGUCUGUUGAGGUAUCUCUUACCUCGUAGUUUAUGCAGCUGAAGAAGCGCUUCCCAGGAUGAGUGUCGUGCUCCUCCUUCACCCGAACCUCGUCAAUGAUUCUCCCACCACAGGGACAUCUUCUAGGAAUCCCAUAUUCAGAAUCUGCGACGUAUCCCAACAUGUUGCAGUACUCCUGAUGCCUCUUUGUAUCUCUUCUCUCCUCUGCGGGAUCCAUCUGAACCAGACAAGCAAACGGCUUACAACAAAAUCACAAAAUUAUAUCAUGAACGGAACCCAUAAUGGAACCCACUAUUCGAUAACAAAACGCUUCGAUCUAACCCAAAAUGAAACCCAGAUGACGAUUCGGAACCCUAGAAUCGAAACCCCCAAAACUCGAGUUUGAACCCUACCUCCAAUACCCCACUAAUCGACAACUAAACGGUUCGAUCUUACCCAAAAUGUAACCCAGAUGACGAUUUGGAACCCUAGAAUCGAAACCCCCAAAAUCGAGUUUGAACCCUAAUUUGAGAACCCCACUAAUCGACAUCAAAACGCUUCGAUCUAACGGGUAUUCACUCGACACACACCUAUUCUCGUCGAGGAGACACUCCGUCGUCGAUUCGAUGGAGAAAAGUGGAGAAACGUGAAGAAAAAUCAAAAUCGCUCGAGAGUUCGCCUCUCGGGAGAAAACCCUAGUCUUUUCUGGAAAAUGAGAAAAUGAAUUUCUCUCUGUUUUCGUCGUCGUGACGUCAACAACGCGGCGCCAAUGGAACCGUGACACCUGGCGUGAACCCGCCUCAUACCGAAUCACUUGUAAGAAGCGGGUCGCGGAAAUAAACCCAUUAAAACAUUUCUUUUUCCUAUUCGGGCCUAUGAACCCGAGCCCAUGAACCCCAUUACAACCUUCAAUGUGGAUGCUCUAAAAACUAUAAAUGAGAACAUUAUAAAUCUGAAUACUUCUUCUGUUUUUAAAGAUUAUUACUCGUAUAAUUCUUGUAAAAAUUCUAAUUAGUGGCUAAAAAGAAAAGAAGAAAAAUAAACAAAAGUGUGUAUUGUGUGUAUUUUGGUGGUAGCGAGCAAACAGGCAACAGAGACAGAGCCACGUGAACGUAUCUCUUUCAAUUACAAGUCUCAACACGUGUCGAACCUAGUCAUCACUUUUAGAACAAAUUGACGAAAAAGGGCUUGCGGUACCACCAUUAUCAAAACCAUACAGGGGGUGUUCCAGUCAUUACCUAGUUAAGAGGACGUCUUCGUGUGCGAAUCCGUCGUGAUUCUUAAUUAAGUUUUGGUUAAUGUUUUGUUAAAAUACGUAAAAAUUAAAGAUUAACAUCCCAAUAAUUGCCUUUAGAAAUUAAAGAAAAAAAACAUUAACUCUUGACUUGGUGACUCGACGAAAGCCUUGGAGACAAACUUUUCAAAGGGGUUAGUUUUAAUCUCUCUGGGUCUCAUCUCAUCGCUGCAACAAUUUCAUAUCAAGAAAAAAAAACACUUUCAUGGAGGCUUAAACAUCACCACCAUCAGGUAACUCUUUAACUCUUAGCUUCAGCCUAAGUUUUUGUGUUCUUUCACAAGUUAUGCAAGGAGCUAGUUUUAAAUGAAUAAAGAAGGAUAAAGUGAAGUUUCUGUUUAUUAGAAUUUUGAUCCUCGGUUAUAUAUGGGACUUUUACUCUUUGUAACGAGGUUGAUGAACGAGUCCAGUACUUUUAAAAAGAUGAUCCUUGUAAGUUCUUGCUGAUGGUUGUUUGGGUUGACUAAACUUUUUUAGCUUGUGAAAUGGUAGAAUCGUGUCUGAAAUUUUUCGAUCCUUGAUUGUCGAUUACACAUAGACUCAAAAAUAAACGUUGAUCAUUGAAAGUUUGGGAUCAAGUUCUCAGCUUUUUGAUUCUCUUAUGGACUAAGGUUUUAGCUUUACCCUUUUUGGGUUAGGUAGUAUUAUUAUUAUGUAAUCAAUCACCUUGUCUGAAAAUUUUGAAUUUGUUUUGGUUGAUGUAUAGAAAGUAUGACGACGCAGAGCGCUAUGAGGAUGGUGGAAGGUGAUCAUGUAAAAAGUUGGCAGGCUUCCUCUAGGGAUACUAGUGGGAUAUUUGGUUCACAUGAUAUGGCUGUUGAAGAUUUAAGGUUCCUUAUGGAAAGAAAUAGAUUGGAUAGUAGUGGAAGUGAUCAUACAGGUAAGAUCCCUAGUAGGAGUGGAAGCGCGCCGCCUAGCAUGGAAGGUUCAUUUGCAGCUCUUAGGAAUCUCUUGAAACAUCAGGAAGGUAGUUUUAGUAGGUCUAUUGAGAAUUAUGGCUCUGAAGAAGAGAUACGUAGCGAUCCUGGUUAUGUAGCUUACUAUUUGUCCAACAUCAACCUGAAUCCGAGGCUCCCUCCUCCGUUGAUCUCACGUGAGAAUCAGCACUUGCUGCGUCAUUUGGGUGGUGAUGGUAAUAACCUGAGUCCAACAGCGUCUUGGGAUGAUAUGGGGAUAAGAUCUUCCUUGCUUGCUUCUAGAACUGCGCUUUCUACACAUAGAGAGGAGCCUGAGGACGAGGCUUCUUCUGGUGAGCAACUGACUUAUGCUUCUUUGCCUGGUCGUCGUAAGAGCUUUGCUGAUAUCAUUCAGGUACUGCUUGAUUCUAUCACUUGUUUCUAAAAAUAUUAAGGAAGAUUCUCUCUUUUAACACUUUCUUUUGUGUUCAAGCGGCCUCAUUCGGCAGGGAACCAUCCAAUAGCAGAAGACAUCCAUGCCAUUUCUUCUGGUAUAGCUUCAGAAAGGACAAGAAGGUUACCAGAGUCUGAUGUAAGUUCGGUGAAUCUUCUGAGGGAGACAGAUUCUCUCUCCAUGGAGGCUAUUGCUAGUGAAGAUCCUUUUACCUCUGAGUUGAGCUCACAAAGUUCAACCAACACGCAGAAUGAGAGAUCAAAUGCGAGGGUAGGGAGCCGCGAGGACAACAAUCUAUCUGCUUUUGGUGCUUCUGGUCCAUCCUCUGCUGCUUCUAGAAUGAGGGGGAACCAAGAAGAGCCAAGGAGAAUGCCUGUGCAAUACACACCUUCAUCAUACCAGGUUCAAGCUACUUCGCCUCAACAAAUGACCUAUCCGAGGAUGGGUGGUGGUACACACGACAUGAUGCAGAACUUGCCAAGGAUUGCAACUGGAGAGGUACAUUCGACUUUCCAAUCUCCUCACGGUUUGACAUCGCCUCCUAUGUAUACAUCUACAGCUGCAUACAUGACAUCUCUGAGCCCGUUUUACAAUCAUCAUAACUUUCAGUCCUCUGGCAUGUACCUCCCUCAGUAUAAUUACGGCGGUUACCCUCCUGUCUCUGGCGUUGUCCCUCAGUAUAUGAGUGGAUACCCAUCUCAUGAAGCUACCGUUCCUAUGCCAUAUGAUAUCUCAUCGCCUUCUUCGGGCUACAACAACUCCUUCUCUCGUGGAUCCUUUUCAC